UUCGCAAUGCCCGAAAGGGUGAACGAGCGACGCCGCGUGCGGGAUGAAGGGCUUCGGCUUGUAAACCGCUUUUCUUUGGGAAGAAGGUAUGGUUCGCGCAAUCGUGCUCGACGGUACCAGAGGAAUAAGCCCCGGCUAACUCCGUGCCAGCAGCCGCGGUAAGACGGAGGGGGCGAGCGUUGUUCGGAAUUAUUGGGCGUAAAGGGCGCGUAGGCGGAUCGGCGGGUCCGGCGUGAAAUCUCCACCGCUUAACGGGGAGAGGUCGCUGGAAACUACCGAUCUGGAGUUCGGCAGAGGACCAUGGAAUUCCAGGUGUAGCGGUGGAAUGCGUAGAUAUUGGAAGAACACCGGUGGCGAAGGCGGUGGUCUGGGCCGAAACUGACGCUGAGGCGCGAAAGCCAGGGGAGCAAACGGGAUCAGAUACCCCGGUAGUCCUGGCCGUAAACGAUGGGCACUAAGUAGAGGGGUUUU
rnacentral:rRNA from 1 species